UUCUAAUUCGGUGACUAAUUAACGUCUGCAGAAGGAUUUCCUGAUUCUCUAGUGUCUGUCCGUCUUCCUCGUUUUUUUGAUGGAUUUUUUUGAACAAAAGAAUCUGCAGUCUCCGGCUCGAUGAAACCACGGAAACCUCCCCCACGCUUGAUGUAGGAGGUCCAGGUGAUGCAGUAAGUUCUGAAAAUGAAAACGUGUCUAGUCCGGAGGGCCUGCAAAGUCCAGAUGGUAUGGCCUGCACAGACGGCCCACCUGGCCCCACUGGCCCCGAUGACGUCAUCACAACCAAUCCGACCAGCCGCUAUGACAUCCUGAAUAGCCCGACCUGCCCUACAUGACCAGUCCAGACGUCAUUUUCAGGACCAGUCGUCCAGAGUUGUGUGUAAGAUUGCAUCUAUGAAAACGUUCAGAGGCAAGUGGACCAUCAUGGCACCAACAACAGAUGGAGCGGCAGUGAGUUUGAGAGCUAUGAUGAGCAGUCAGACAGCGGGACCAAAGGCAAGACCCUGCAUGGCCCACAGCAGUAUUUUCCAGGUCAAUAGUACAAGACGUGUACAGCAAUUGUGUCAACAACUUCACUUAAUGCUCUCAUGAAGAAAGCCUGCAUUUCCAAGACAGCUUUCCUGGAGUUUCUGUAGGACAUCAAGGACAUGUUGAAGAACACUCCCUGGGCCCACCCUGACUGUAUGCCCCUGCAGUUGGCCCUCACUGAGCUGGAGACGUUAGCCGAGAGGCUAAACGAGCAGAAACGAGUAGCAGACCAGGUCGCUGAAAUCCAUCAACUGGCACGCAGAGUUGGUGACCGCCAACUGAGCAAGCUCUUUAACUCAGACUAGAGGCAGCUGAUACUGUGCGAGGUGCUGCUUGAGAUGAUGUACGUAAGGACAGGUCUUACGUACAUAAGGACAGGUCUUCAAGUCCAAGGAGCGCAAAUGUCUUCCUCAGUAACGACACCCUCAUCUGUGCAAACAUCAGUGUCAAGUAAAGUGUUCCUGGUCCCUCCCUGACUGUACCAGGAGCUGGAGUAGCUUCAAUACGACCUGUCUGUUGUUGAACAGGUCACCCUGCUAGUCAGGACAUUACAAGGCACCUACCAGCUGAAGACGGCCCUUCACCACCCGGUCCGUUGUGCCCUGCUGGGCUUCUCUGCAGCCAGCACAUCUCUACCGCAGGGCUAUCUCUGGGUGGCCAGUGGAGGUCAAGUGGAAAUCUUCUCUCUGAACCUGUCCACGCCACACACGGUCAAGCCCAUCCAGCUGGGGUUCCCAGUCCUGUUUCUGGACCACAUGAUGGAGCCCCUGUCCCACCCAAGAGGAAGAGGAUUCAGACGCUCCUGCAAAGAACACAGCCAGCUCUGGCAACACCAUCUGUGUAGGCCUACAGGAUGGAUCCAUGUGUAUUUUAGUGUGGAAACGGCCACCCAGUGCCUUCUGACCUUCUCCCACCCAGACAGUUGUCCAGUUCUGUGCCUGAAACACUCUGCCUCUUUCCUGUUCGCUGGGCUGGGGAAUGGAAAAGUUGCCGUUUAAGCUCAAAAGAGUGGAGCUCGUUCCAGUCGCUAGCUGCGGCGAACUGAAAAAAGGAGCGACCCAGGGAUGUGGGUGCUAAAGGUGAUCUCAAUUGUAACCAUCAAUUUCCACGAUUUAGCACUCCCUAAAGCAGAUGUGACUGUGUGCAGUGGCCCCAUCCGCACCCUCCUAAUCCUGGAGAACACUUUGUGAGCCAGUUGUGCCAACUUCGUCACCGUCAUCCAGGGCUCCAGCUUCCACCUCCAGGUGGGCAAAACACAUCCUUCUAUACACCCUCAUUUACACAGGGCUGAAGGAAAGGGAGGGAGAGGGAGGGAAGGAUAGGAAAAGAAUAGAGACUAUGGCCUUUUCUCAAUUAGAUUUGCUAAAUUCCUUCGUCCUCUCUCCUCUGUCCUCUCGCCUCCUUUUGAAGAAGGUCAAAGGUAAUCAAGGAGAGGCGGCAAGGAGAGUGAACGUGGACGAAAAUGCGCUUGUAUGAAAUGAGAAGCUUCUUCUCCACUCGCGUCAUCAGGCAUAUUACGUUUACAGGGGUGGAUCCCAAAAUAAAUGUGUAAAGUGAUGAAAACGAAUUAGGUUAGUUGUGCAAGACAUUUCAUAGAUAAAAGGACAAGUAAUAUGUUUUUUUUGUGGAGGACCAUCUUUCGUUUGCCUACUAACGAAUUGACACACUCCUCGACCACUUAUCGGUUUCCGGAUCACAGAGGACAGAGGACGGAGAAGAGAGGAUGGAGGACAGACUUUUGCCCAAAUGUGAAAAGGUCUAUAUGACACUGGAAAGGAUAGGUUUUAAUACUGUAUGAUACUGUAGCUAGUAUGAAGAGGACACAUGCAUUGACAACCUCACACAACCACUCCUCUCCGUCUCUCAAUCAGAACACCUCUCUUUCUCAAGCACUCACUCUGUCUUACUCAUUCACC